AUUGAACGCUGGCGGCAUGCUUUACACAUGCAAGUCGACCGGCAGCGCGGGCUUUGGCUUGGCGGCGAGUGGCGAACGGGUGAGUAAUACAUAGGAACGUGCCCAGUCGUGGGGGAUAGCCCGGCGAAAGCGGGAUUAAUACCGCAUACUAAUUGAGGGAGAAAGCCGGGGAUUUUCGGAACUCGUGCUAUUGGUGCGGCCGAUGGCCGUGUCGUUAGUUGGUGGGGUAAAGACCCACCAAGGCGACGUUCUGUAGCUGGUCUGAGAGGACGACUAGCCACACUGGGAGUGUGACACGGCCCAGGCUCCUACGGGAGGCAGCAGUGUGGAAUUGUGAACAAUGGGCGGAAGACUGAUGCAGCAAGGCCGCGAGUGUGAUGAAGGCCUUCGGUGUGUAAAGCACUGUUGGCGGGAACGAAAAGUGCUGUGCGAAUACAACGGACCAAUGACGGUACCCGCAGAAGAAGCGCCGGCUAACUACGUG
rnacentral:rRNA from 1 species